AUUCAGAUGACGAGUCCUAAAUAAAAAGAAACCCGCGUCCUGGAU
rfam:Schistosoma curassoni strain Dakar, Senegal genome assembly, scaffold: SCTD_scaffold0005456